GUGGGGAAUAUUGGACAAUGGGCGAAAGCCUGAUCCAGCCAUGCCGCGUGUGUGAAGAAGGUCUUCGGAUUGUAAAGCACUUUAAGUUGGGAGGAAGGGUAGUAACCUAAUACGUUGCUACUUUGACGUUACCGACAGAAUAAGCACCGGCUAACUUCGUGCCAGCAGCCGCGGUAAUACGAAGGGUGCAAGCGUUAAUCGGAAUUACUGGGCGUAAAGCGCGCGUAGGUGGUUCAGUAAGUUGGAAGUGAAAUCCCCGGGCUCAACCUGGGAACUGCUUUCAAAACUGCUGAGCUAGAGUACGGUAGAGGGUGGUGGAAUUUCCUGUGUAGCGGUGAAAUGCGUAGAUAUAGGAAGGAACACCAGUGGCGAAGGCGACCACCUGGACUGAUACUGACACUGAGGUGCGAAAGCGUGGGGAGCAAACAGGAUUAGAUACCCCAGUAGUCC
rnacentral:rRNA from 1 species